rnacentral:rRNA from 1 species
GAUGAACGCUGGCGGCGUGCCUAACACAUGCAAGUCGAGCGAACGGACGAGAAGCUUGCUUUUCUGAUGUUAGCGGCGGACGGGUGAGUAACACGUGGAUAACCUACCUAUAAGACUGGGAUAACUUCGGGAAACCGGAGCUAAUACCGGAUAAUAUUUUGAACCGCAUGGUUCAAACGUGAAAGACGGUCUUGCUGUCACUUAUAGAUGGAUCCGCGCUGCAUUAGCUAGUUGGUAAGGUAACGGCUUACCAAGGCAACGAUGCAUAGCCGACCUGAGAGGGUGAUCGGCCACACUGGAACUGAGAAUCGGUCCAGACUCCUACGGGAGGCAGCAGUAGGGAAUCUUCCGCAAUGGGCGAAAGCCUGACGGAGCAACGCCGCGUGAGUGAUGAAGGUCUUCGGAUCGUAAAACUCUGCUAUUAGGGAAGAACAUAUGUGUAAGUAACUGUGCACAUCUUGACGGUACCUAAUCAGAAAGCCACGGCUAACUACGUG